AUAUUGGCGAGAGACCGAUAGCGCACAAGUAGAGUGAUCGAAAGAUGAAAAGCACUUUGGAAAGAGAGUUAAAAAGCACGUGAAAUUGUUGAAAGGGAAGCGCUUGCAAUCAGACUUGUUUAAACUGUUCGGCCGGUCUUCAGACCGGUUUACUCAGUUUGGACAGGCCAGCAUCAGUUUCGGCGGCCGGAUAAAGGCUCUGGGAAUGUGGCCUCCACUUCGGUGGAGGUGUUAUAGCCCAGGGUGUAAUACGGCCAGCCGGGACUGAGGUCCGCGCUUCGGCUAGGAUGCUGGCGUAAUGGUUGUAAGCGACCCGUCUUGAAACACGGACC
rnacentral:rRNA from 1 species